UACGUAGGGAGCAAGCGUUGUCCGGAUUUAUUGGGCGUAAAGAGCUCGUAGGCGGCUUAGUAAGUCAGGUGUGAAACCUCCAGGCUCAACCUGGAGACGCCACUUGAUACUGCUAUGGCUUGAGUUCGGUAGGGGAUCACGGAAUUCCUGGUGUAGCGGUGAAAUGCGCAGAUAUCAGGAAGAACACCGACGGCGAAGGCAGUGAUCUGGGCCGAUACUGACGCUGAGGAGCGAAAGCGUGGGGAGCGAACAGG
rnacentral:rRNA from 1 species